AAAAAUGCAUUGGAAGACUUGCAGACACUUCCAAGAAACAACAAAUAGAAGCUUUUAGUUCCUCCUUCUAUUUUCAAAAUGUGAGAAAAAAAAUCCUCUUGCGAUAUGCAUCUAAGUAUGUCUAUUGAGAAGAGAAAAGACUAAUCAACUGCAUUUAAAUCAUUAUCAGCAAUUUUGUAUGCAUUUCAUACCAUCUGGACCCUUCCUCAACAUUCGCAAUGGUGAAUACCUCCAAUGUCUCAGCUGGAAUCUGGUGACGCUGCAUCUCUUUUCCAAAAUAAUUAAGUGGGAG
rnacentral:lncRNA from 1 species